GCUGGUGUAGCACAGGGGCAGUGCAGCUGAUUCGUAAUCAGCAGGUCGUGGGUUCGAAUCCCACCACCAGCUCCA
rnacentral:tRNA from 1 species